CCAUCGACAAGGAUGGAGGAAGUGGGGGAUGACGGUCAAGUCAUCAUGGCCCUUAUGUCCAGGGCGACACACGUGCUACAAUGGCCGGGCACAACGGGAAGCGAGUUCGCGAGGACGAGCGGAUCCCUCAAAGACCGGUCGCAGUUCGGAUUGAAGUCUGCAACUCGACUUCAUGAAGCUGGAAUCGCUAGUAAUCGUGGAUCAGCCAAGCCGCGGUGAAUACGUUCCCGGGCCUU
rnacentral:rRNA from 1 species